CCCUGCAGGGAUCGCACUCACCCCCUGAGUUUCGGGGCCAGGAGCCCAGCAGCCCCGCCAGCAAGAAGCAGGGCUGUCCCCCCACUCCUCUGGGGGAAGCUCAGGGCUCCUAAGAGAGCUAAUCCGUUACUCUUUUUCCCCCCAAGGGAGUGCCAUGGUUAAUAUCAAAUAUUUAUUAAUUUUAGGUCACUACCACCUUUGCACAUUGUCCACUAACUGCCUCAGUGCACUAAAAUGCAACUCAGUAGCCUGAAAAGUUAAUGCAUUUUCAUCAAAUUCUUAAGAGGCAUCUACAUCUCUUGAGAAAAAAAUGGCCUUACAUAAUGCAUUAGAUCUGCCCAUCGUUAAAGAUUAAGGAAAACCAGACACAAGCCAGAUGCCCAGAGGAUUUCAGAUCCUCCUUGUUGUAGGCCAGUGUGAGACCAGACUUACAAGGCUUUGUUUGGUAAAUUUAUUUUUGAACGUAUGAAUCUUUAUAAUAUUAUCAUAAGUGUAACAUGAGUAGUUGAACCUUUUUUAAAAAAAUUAGAAUUGCGGAGCUGGGCUCUGGAGCCACGCCGCCCUGAGUUCAAGUCUCACCUGCCACUCCUAACUACACGAUAAUGGAUGUGCCAGCGCCGUCGGUGCCCUCGGGCAGUUUUGGGGAGUGUAACUUAAUAAUGCAUGUAAAUUGCUGAAUACAGCGCCUGUCAUAUCGCAAGUGAUUGAUAACGGGACUGAGUGCCUGGUUUUUGUUUCACGCAGAGGGGUUUGGGCCGUGCUUAACUUUAUCCUCCGCAGGAACCAGAACCGCCGCAGGGGUAGCUGCCAACGGCCACCGCGCACGGCCACCCCGCGGGCCCCGAGGCAAACAAGAUGUUCGCGGCUGCCCUUGGCGGGCGGCGGGCAGCGGGCGCUGCAGUCCUGCUCUUGCUUCUCGGAAUAAAUAAGCAGAGGCUGUCGCUUCCCCAGAUGGCCAGCCUCGCCUACUCAUGGAUUCCAUACUGGCCAGUGUGCCGCUGCUAAGACUGAUUUAUCUUUAACCCCCACGUCGAUAUUCAGGGGCUUCCGUGGUCAGCGCAGAGUGGAGCCCCUAUAAAGCUCAGUUACCCCCUGGUCAGUGGGCGAGAACGGGAGCCUUGCCUGCACCGCCCCAGGCGUGGGGGCUCGGGGUCCCCUCUCCAGUGGAGCCCUGACUGUGGACCGUCACCACCGUGAACAACGAGAGUCAGCGACGUCUCGCUGGCUCCAGUAAAGGUCACCCGGAUAACCACCUCACAUCGGAGUGCUACUCCCGUGGCUUCGUGUUUGCAGUGUCUCCCAGCAGUAUCCACAGAGAACAUACCCUUGACCGGAAUCGAACCCGGGACCCUUCAGUCCACCGGCCGAUGCUCUAUCCACUGAACCAAACCAGGUGAAGUGUUGAAGCCUCCAGCUGCAAGGAUGGAUCGAUUGAUGUUCUUGCUGUUCUAUCAGGUUAUGCCUCCUGUGUUCUGAAGCUCCGUGACCGUGUCGACACAUGCAUUUCUACAGGCAGGGAGCUCCUGAGCCAGACGCUGCAUUUAUGGGGACCUCGGGGAGCGAACGCAGCAAGCUGUAGCCAUGGGCAGUGGCGCCAGGAGAAACCACCGCAGGUCAGAGGCGCGGCCCUCUUCCGGUAGGUGUCUUUCCUCCAGGAUGUGAGGGCUCAGCGUGGCCGCAGCAGCAGGUGGCUGGCGGGCCCUGGGUGGGGUCGUUCAGGAGCCAGUGGGGUCUGGUGGUGGUGAGCGGGCACUUGGCAAUGACAGCAGCCACGUGGGCCUAGAGAAAGGGAGGCUGGUGUUCUUAACCCGCUGCUGCCAGGGCCAUGGUUCACCGAGCCCAUUGUCUGCGCGCCAGGGGAGCUGGGAGAGAUGCUGGCGGACAUCCACAGGCCGGUCCUACCCGGGGGAGUCAACCUAGCUGCUCUUAUUCCCGUUUUAAAGAGGACAGCACCGCAGUGGGGAAGGACCAAGAGGCUUUGCCAAAGGUUCCUUCUGCCUGGGAAUGUAAGCAGGAGCCAGGAUCCUGCCGUCUUGUCCAGUGACUGGAGAAUGCAUGCCCAAACCCCGGGGUCACGAAGUGCCGGGGAACUCGGAUUUAUGGAGCAGAGGAGAGGUAUUUCUUAUCUUUUUUGAGGGUUUUUGUUGUUACUGUUAACCCUCACCCCAGGGUAUUUUUCCAUUGAUUUUUAGAGAGAGUGGGGGGAGGGAG